AAACUGUGAUGUGGGCACUUUCUUAACAAGUCUUUGAAUCUUUCAUACAAUCUCUCAAGCUUUCUUGAUCAUGAUGAGCAAAUGUCAUUAUCUCAUUGCGCAGUUU